UACAGAGGUCUCAACCGUUGUUCGGAUUCAUUGGGCGUAAAGGGUGCGUAGGCGGUCGUGCAAGUCGGAUGUGAAAUCUCAGGGCUCAACCCUGAAACUGCAUUCGAUACUGCGUGGCUAGAGUGCUGGAGAGGAGACUGGAAUUUACGGUGUAGCAGUGAAAUGCGUAGAUAUCGUAAGGAAGACCAGUGGCGAAGGCGAGUCUCUGGACAGCAACUGACGCUGAGGCACGAAGGUCAGGGGAGCAAACGGG
rnacentral:rRNA from 1 species